GAUGAACGCUAGCGGGAGGCUUAAUACAUGCAAGUCGAGGGGUAACGGCAGAGCUUGCUCUGGACGACGACCGGCGCACGGGUGAGUAACGCGUACACGAUCUACCUUAUACUGGGGGACAUAUACUGGAAACGGAGUAAAUACCCCAUAGCAUUAUGAAUUUGAAUGUUUAUAAUUAAAGGCUUCGGCCGGUAUAAGAUGAGUGUGCGUCCCAUUAGAUAGUUGGUGAGGUAACGGCUCACCAAGUCGACGAUGGGUAGGGGGCGUGAGAGCGUGGACCCCCACACGGGUACUGAGACACGGACCCGACUCCUACGGGAGGCAGCAGUAAGGAAUAUUGGACAAUGGGCGAAAGCCUGAUCCAGCCAUCCCGCGUGCAGGAAGACGGCCCUAUGGGUUGUAAACUGCUUUUAUAUAGGAAGAAUAAUCUUCAUUUAUGAGGACUUGACGGUACUAUAUGAAUAAGCACCGGCUAACUCCG
rnacentral:rRNA from 1 species